CCUACGGGUGGCUGCAGUGAGGAAUAUUGGUCAAUGGGCGAGAGCCUGAACCAGCCAAGUCGCGUGAGGGUGUACUGCCCUAUGGGUGGUAAACCUCUUUUGUCGGGGGGCAACAGCCGGACGUGUCCGGCUGUGAGAGUAACCGAAGAAAAAGCAUCGGCUAACUCCGUGCCAGCAGACGCGGUAAUAGGGAGGAUGCGAGCGUUAUCCUGAUUUAAUGGGGUGAAAGGGUGCGCUGGCGGAUUUUUAAGUCAGCGGUCAAAUCGUGGGGCUCAACCCCAUCCAGCCGUUGAAACUGGGGAUCUAGAGUGUGCGAGAGGUAUGCGGAAUGCGUGGUGUAGCGGUGAAAUGCAUAGAUAUCACGCAGAACCCCGAUUGCGAAGGCAGCAUACCGGUGCACAACUGACGCUCAGGCAAGAAAGCGUGGGUAUCGAACAGGAUUAGAUACCCCAGUAGUC
rnacentral:rRNA from 1 species